UGGGGAUCCCGUCAAGGCGAUCAGCUCAAAGGCAGCAGGGGCUGUUCAUUACCUCGUCUCUAUUGCGUGGCGCCAAAAGAUUGCACAGUUGGACAGAAAGAAUGUGGAAUGGACUGAACAGAGGAACAAGGAAUUUCUGGCUGCUUGGAGCCCCACUGUGGUUUGCAACAGCCCCUCCAGGAUCGCAGAGCUCUUUGGAGUCUAUUUCAACCCAAGAGAGAGGACAGAUUUCAUUCUGACUGUUAUGGAUGGCCUGAC